rnacentral:rRNA from 1 species
ACGCUGGCGGCAGGCUUAACACAUGCAAGUCGAGCGGAAACGAUGAUAGCUUGCUAUCAGGCGUCGAGCGGCGGCGGGUGAGUAACGCGUAGAUAUCUACCUAGUAUGGGGAACAACCUGUGGAAACGCAGGCUAAUACCGCAUACGUCCUACGGGAGAAAGGGGGCCAAUUCUUGAAAGCUCUCGCUAUUAGAUGAGUCUGCGUCGGAUUAGCUUGUUGGUGAGGUAAUGGCUCACCAAGGCGACGAUCCGUAGCUGGUCUGAGAGGAUGAUCAGCCACACUGGAACUGAGACACGGUCCAGACUCCUACGGGAGGCAGCAGUGGGGAAUAUUGCACAAUGGGCGAAAGCCUGAUGCAGCCAUGCCGCGUGUGUGAAGAAGGCCUUAGGGUUGUAAAGCACUUUCAGCGAGGAGGAAAGGUUGGUACUUAAUACGUACCAGCUGUGACGUUACUCGCAGAAGAAGGACCGGCUAACUCCGUGCCAGCAGCCGCGGUAAUACGGAGGGUCCGAGCGUUAAUCGGAAUUACUGGGCGUAAAGCGCGCGUAGGCGGCUUGUUAAGUCAGAUGUGAAAGCCCUGGGCUCAACCUGGGAACUGCAUUUGAUACUGGCAAGCUAGAGUAUGGGAGAGGACAGUGGAAUUUCUAGUGUAGCGGUGAAAUGCGUAGAUAUUAGAAGGAACACCAGUGGCGAAGGCGACUGUCUGGCCCAAUACUGACGCUGAGGUACGAAAGCGUGGGGAGCAAACGGGAGUUAGAUACCCCGGUAGUCCACGCCGUAAACGAUGUCUACUAGUCGUUGGGUCCCUUGCGGACUUAGUGACGAAGCUAACGCGAUAAGUGACCGCCUGGGGAGUACGGCCGCAAGGUAAAACUCAAAUGAAUGACG